AGGACGAACGCUGGCGGCGUGCUUAACACAUGCAAGUGGAGCGACGAACCAGGGCUUGCCCUGGGGCAGGGCCGCGAACGGGUGAGUAACACGUGGGUUACCUGCCUCGAUGACCGGGACAACCCGAGGAAACUCGGGCUAAUACCGGAUGUGCCCGCAAGGGGAAAGGAAGCUUCGGCCUCCGCAUCGAGAUGGGCCCGCGGCCCAUUAGCUUGUUGGUGAGGUAACGGCUCACCAAGGCUUCGAUGGGUAGCUGGUCUGAGAGGACGAUCAGCCACACUGGGACUGAGACACGGCCCAGACUCCUACGGGAGGCAGCAGUGGGGAAUCUUGCGCAAUGCGCGAAAGCGUGACGCAGCAACGCCGCGUGGGGGAAGAAGGCUUUCGGGUUGUAAACCCCUUUCAGUUGGGACGAAGCUUCUCCGGUGAAUAGCCGGAUGGAGUGACGGUACCUUCACAAGAAGCACCGGCUAACUACGCGCCAGCAGCCGCGGU
rnacentral:rRNA from 1 species